rnacentral:misc_RNA from 1 species
GGAAGUAAAAGUCGUAACAAGAUUUCCGUAGGUGAACCUGCGGAAGGAUCAUUAUUGUAUAACCGACGUGCGAGGGCUGUCGCUGACCCGAAAGGUCGUGCACGCCCGAGUGCCCUCACACACAUCCAUCUCACCCCUAUGUGCACCACCGCGUGGGUCCCCCUUUGGCUUGUUCGGAGGGGGGCUUACGUUUUCACACAAACUUUGUAUGCAGUGUAGAAUGUAUUUUUUGUUUUUGCGAUCACGCAAUCAAUACAACUUUCAACAACGGAUCUCUUGGCUCUC